GGGGGGGGGCUAUGGUUUUUUUUUCUGGACAAAUUUUUUUUCUCGCCUGCGGCGAAAAACAAUCUAUUUUUUUCGCGACAAGUUGAAAACAAUUUUUUUCUUUCAAUUUUAGCAUUACAUAUAGUGGCAGCUGAGGGUGAAACAAACAAUUUUUUUUCUCAGAAUCAAAAACAAAUUAUUUUUUUCUCCAAAAACUGGAAACAAACUUUUUUUUCCAAAAA
rnacentral:lncRNA from 1 species